GUCCACGCCGUAAACGAUGAGUGCUAGGUGCUAUGGGUAUUGACCCCUGUGGUGCCGUAGCUAACGCGUUAAGCACUCCGCCUGGGGAGUACGGCCGCAAGGCUAAAACUCAAAGGAAUUGACGGGGGCCCGCACAAGCGGUGGAGCAUGUGGUUCAAUUCGACGCAACGCGCAGAACCUUACCUGGGUUAAAUCCGCUCGAAUCUGGCAGAGAUGCCGGGGUGCCCUUCGGGGAACGAGUGAGAAGGUGCUGCAUGGCUGUCGU
rnacentral:rRNA from 1 species